rnacentral:lncRNA from 1 species
AUGGGAAUUCAAUGCCUUGGUUGUAAAGGUCCAGCUCUUCCAGCUUGCCAUGGCUGCUGGCUGCUCUGCAAAAGGUGGAAUGAGGGGAUUCACUUGCUCUUUCCUGGUGGGUUCAGCAACAGCACAGGGACAUCAGCCACCUCUGGUCAUAUCACCAGGGAGACCUUGACAAUGUGGAGAAGGGCUCUGUUGCAUCAUGUGGAGUGGGUAAUAUCCAGAUUUACAGCAUGUGUGUGGGGCAGGUGGCAUCUCUGAGCUGCCCUGCUCUCCCCUCGGUGUCAGAAGGGUUUGAAGGAUUUGGUGGCUUCCCUCCCAGCUGCCUGCAGGGCAGGCACAGUAGCACAGACCAGGUUCCACCUGGCCAGCUGUGAACUAGGGUCUUGGGACCUUUAGAUCAGAAGAGCAAAGUUGUGAAAAGUGUGAAACUGGGGAAGCCAAGCAAAACCCCUCCAGCAUGGAGUGGGGAAUGGCUCACUCAGUGUUGUCAGAGAGUGAAAAACUCUCACUAUUUAUAUUUUGGUCAGUAGAAGAAAGCGUCACACCCAUCCAUCCCAUUAGUAUAAAAAAGCAUUGACAACACCAUAGUCCCCACCUUACCUUCUCCUAUGCCUCUCCAGAGCACCUGGUCCUGUGCCAGAGGGUUUAAUAGAUUACCCUGCAAAGCCUGGGACUGUGGCAUUGUGCAAGGUUGCACAUUCCCAGGAAGCAUAUGUGCACAAAGCUGUAACAGACACAGACUAAGGAGCGAUGGCCCUGGUUGGCAGUGGUGAGAGGCGCUAAUAUUGCUGGGAAAGGUGAAAACAUAAUUGAAACCGCUUAUUUUGGGGGGCAUACAGGACACAAUGAGUCAAUAGCUUCUGAGCAACAAAUACCUGUAAUUCACCAAUCCUGGUAUUACAGACUUUUAAUUAGCUCUACAAAUUUGCAGAACAUGUAAACACCCAGAAUGGUACACAACAAACCAUUAAACAUUAACUUAUUGUCGACUUAAAAAAAAAACCCCACUCAUGAUAUUAAAAACAUAAGGGGAAAGAGAUGCCAAGCUGAUGAAUGAAGCCAGCUGACUGCUGAGAAGAGGCUAUGGGGUUUGCUCCAUAGCUUUGCUGUUUUCAGUAAUCUGACUCACUGAGAUAUUUUUAGACACAGUAACAAGUUCCAUUGUUAAGUAAUAUUUCAUUUGAAUUUUUCUCAAAUUAUGCUGUCCUCUUGGCCUGCAAAUUCCUUUCUUCAGCAAGGCAGUGCUGCUCUCCACACC